rnacentral:rRNA from 1 species
UGAGUAAUACGUGAGUAACCUGCCCUUGACUCUGGGAUAAGCCUGGGAAACUGGGUCUAAUACUGGAUACUACCUCUUACCGCAUGGUGGGUGGUGGAAAGGGUUUUACUGGUUUUGGAUGGGCUCACGGCCUAUCAGCUUGUUGGUGGGGUAAUGGCUCACCAAGGCGACGACGGGUAGCCGGCCUGAGAGGGUGACCGGCCACACUGGGACUGAGACACGGCCCAGACUCNUACGGGAGGCAGCAGUGGGGAAUAUUGCACAAUGGGCGGAAGCCUGAUGCAGCGACGCCGCGUGAGGGAUGACGGCCUUCGGGUUGUAAACCUCUUUCAGUAGGGAAGAAGCGAGAGUGACGGUACCUGCAGAAGAAGCGCCGGCUAACUACGUGCCAGCAGCCGCGGUAAUACGUAGGGCGCAAGCGUUGUCCGGAAUUAUUGGGCGUAAAGAGCUCGUAGGCGGUUUGUCGCG